rnacentral:lncRNA from 1 species
GACAAUUUAGGGCUUUGGCUUUUAAUCUGGCAGAAGUGGAAAGAGGCCAGAGGAUUGAGCAGAGGAGAGGCAUGGGCUACUUUCAACAGGAUGGCUCUGCCUGCCUUGUUGAGAUGGCUGGGGCAGGUGUGGGGACAUGGAGGGGGGCAGCAGAAGUGCAUGUGGACUGGAUGUAAAUAGAGGGCAAAGGGAGAGGAGAAAGGAGAGGAGCUGGCCAUUGGGAAGACCGAGCCACACCCCCACCGUGACCAACUCUAGAGAACCAGCUGCCCAUGGCCAGAGCCGCGACUCUAGGGUGGGCCUGCUGCCAUUUCUGACCAGACAACCCUCAGUCCUUUGGCUAUGCAGCAGCACCCGGUCCUACCUGCUAGGUCUAAGGAAUGACCCCUUCCCAGUUAUGACGACCAAUGAAUGUCUGCAGACUGUGCCAGAUGUCCACUGUGGGCAGCAGGCCUGAGGGUGAGAAGCCUGGCCCCGGAGCACUUCCAGUGCACUUUGACACUUGCCCAUAGAUUUCCUAGACGUGAGCAUCACUCGUUGCUAGUUCUUCUGGAACACACCUUGUGAGAUUCGGGCAAAUCAGUCGGGUCUAUUGUAGGGAUGCGCCACCUUUUUGCUUGUCCACUCACCCACCGGAAGCUGGGCUGUCUCCCUUCUUUGGCUUCUAAGAGUAGAGCUGAGUGACGAAUCUGCCUUUACCCUGAGGUGAGCAGCAGGUGAGUUUCGCAGCUCUACUCCUGGCCAACAUUUGGCCUGCAUGUCUUUUUAUGAUAGCGGUUCUAACGCCCCACUAACUCAAGAAGCUGAGCCCUCUUUGUGUGCUUCUUUGCUAUUUGAUAGCUUCUUUGAAGAAGGUGAUUCCAAAUCUUUUGACAGGCAAUGAAUUUUUUUAAAGCAACACACACACACACACACCUGCCAUGAUUUCGAUGUGCAGCGAUGACUGAGAGCUACUAAGAUUUGUGUGUGUGUGUGUGUGCGUGUGUGAGAGAGUUGAUGGGGAUUGAACCCAGGGCCUUGUGCAUGUGAGGCAAGCACUCUACUAACUGAGCUAGAUCCCCAGCCCAGUUAAGAUUUUGACUUUUUUUUUUUUAAACCCAAAUGAAUACUGUCAUCCAGGGACUUCCAUGCCAGCCUCUUGUGCCCCCUACUGGUGGUGGGAGUAGGUGCUUCCUGAAUCCAGAGUUAAAAGCAGGGAUCCUGGUCCCAGGGUCCCAGGAUCCUUCUGGGGGUCUCAACAAGCAUCUUGCCAGGGACCUGAGUGUGGAGAAGAAGUGACCAUCCCCCCCCCUGCCAUGCCAGCCAUCUGCCACAGGGUGAGCUCCCUCAGUUUGCUGUUCCCUGGAAGCCAGUGGAGAUCCUGCACUUACUGGAGGUGAUUCCUUUGGGGACCCAUGGGACUCGGAUCACCGCCCACCAAACAUGGAUGUUUGGAGGAACUCACUCAGGGACCUGGACGGAGUUACAGCCACUGCUGGGCUGGAAUUCACGAUGACCCAGCCUGCUGUGUGGACCUGCCCGGUAAGACGCUGGGAGCUCAGAACAGUGGAGUGACUCCAUCUCUGCCUCACCCACAGCAAGGAACCUGACAUGCAGUUUGGCUGCCUGCAGGGGGCUAAUUUUUGUUCCCCAAAAGAGACGAUGAAGUCAUAGCCCCAGUACCUCAGAAUGUCACCUUAUUUGUGUGAUUAGUUAUUAAGAUGAGGCCAUUCUGGAGGAAGGUGGCUCUACAUCCAAUAUGAUUGGUGUGAAAAGGGCAAAUUUGGACACUGACCCAGAGAGAAGGCCUGUGACAGAGGCAGAGGUUGGCACGGAGGGGCAGCACAGAGCGCUGCAGUGCUGGAAGCUGGCGGAAGCUGGCCAAAGCAGGCCAGGAUGUCCCUGGGAAGAUUCCCAAGGGGCAUGGCCUGCCGACGCGCUGACUUCAGACCUGUCACCCCCAGACGGUGGGAGAAGAAGUUCUGCUGUUUGCAU